rnacentral:rRNA from 1 species
UACGUAGGGGGCAAGCGUUGUCCGGAUUUAUUGGGCGUAAAGAGCGUGUAGGCGGCUUGGUAGGUCAGCUGUGAAAACUCGAGGCUCAACCUCGAGACGUCGGUUGAAACCGUAAGGCUAGAGUCCGGAAGAGGAGAGUGGAAUUCCCGGUGUAGCGGUGAAAUGCGCAGAUAUCGGGAAGAACACCCGUGGCGAAGGCGGCUCUCUGGGACGGUACUGACGCUGAGACGCGAAAGCGUGGGGAGCGAACAGG